ensembl:lncRNA
UUCGGCACUUCAAUCAAAACCACAUCAGGCAGCAGCAGGAUACAAACGUCCAGACCUCAGACUUCAUCAGAGACCACUUUCAGGUCUCUGCCAGGUGAAAGCUUCUCUCAGAGGUCUGAGCCCUGCACGUCCCACAGAGGUUUCAUCUAAGAGUUCUGCCCUUCGGAUUGUUCACAUUUCAGUUUUAAAACGUGUAUUUUUCUCUUCACACAAAAUAUCAGCGUAAAAAAGGGGAAAUGAAACAGUUAUAAUAAUGCUGUUUUAGCCGCUGCAGGCCAAAACACAAGAUAUAUGUUUAUAUAUUGUUCUUAUUGCCAACAUUACCUUGAAAGAACUGAAACAAAUGAUGCUCUUGGGACUUUCCUUCCAUACCUGCUCUUCUCACAGCCCGACAAACAUUCGCUGAUGUAAAUCUUUCAUAAAGGCCGACGCCUCUGCUGUGUUACAUUAUACAAGAGAAAAUGACGUUAUCUCUAUAUGAACUUAUUACUUCAGUAAACAUGAGCGUAUGGUCUCAAUCUUUGGUGUCAUUGCUUCUUCAAUACAGCAUGUGGUUCAUUUAGAAAACCUCAGUCUAUAAAGCAAGUAUGCUUUAUGGCGCAAACACUUUUCAGAGACAAAUAUAUGUUGGGACUAUUUUUUGAGCACUUGAGCACCAUAGAGAGUCAAGAGGAACAUGCAUGAAGUCGGUGUCAGGUUACACGCAGAAGUCGAGUCACUGUGACGAUCUGUCCAUCUGUGGUCGUGUGCAGAAAGUAACCGUGACAAAGACAUUCACGCCAACCGAUGAACGCAGGUUACUACGAGAAACGCCAAAUACGCCAACGACCCCGACAUUUUGAUUUUAAUUAAAUAUUUAAAGUUUGAUCCCUUUUCUCGGCGUCUGGGACGAAACGCUACUUCAGUUGCCGAGAUGUGAAUGCUUACAAAAGAAGGUUGUGUGUGCAUCAUCUGCGCAGGACCCCGUCCUUCUCGGCCUGGUUGUGUUCAGCAGAUGGAGACGGACAGAAGUGAGGCGUCCAGCAGCGUGUUUGCAGGAUUAACGAUGAGCCCCGCUGAUCCCUCGUCAGUGAUCAGAGGCUUCAGGCCGGUGUCAGCCUGCUGCAUCCGUAAAUCAAUGAUCCUUUCAGACCCGAGCAACGAAGCUUCAGGUGGAGACUUCGCUGUCUAAAUCCUGUCCGAGUGACACACUUUAAGAGGAAAAAAAAAGAGCCCUCUGUAAACCCAGCUGGGGCGCAAGUGGCGGCAGCGAAAGGUGCCACUGGCAUUGGCUUUUAAGCCGAAAAUCGACAGAAUAUUUUUUUUCCCUAAAAUAUUUUGAUUCUUUUUUUCAAAACAUUUUUUUAAUUAAAUACAUUUUUGACCUAAUAUUUUUCUUUUCAAAUAUAAUUUCAACCAAAGAUACCACUUUUUUUUUAACCUAAUAUUUUUCUACUUUGUUCCCAUGACAGUUUUCCACAUGCAUGUUUGGACAUUUUUUUUUAAAACAAUUUUAUUUUCCCCAAAAAUCAACAGGAUUGAACAACCAGAAUAGAAUUAGAAAAGCUUCAGAUUGUUCUGCAUAUUAUUUCAUACUGCAGGAGCUCAAUGAGAAAUGGAUUUUUCAGGCCCAUUAAAAAGCCGUCACCUCCGACAUUGAAUCAUUUGAGCCUGUUCGACGAGGGCAAAGAUUAACAGACAACAACGAAUCAAUGCAAGUGAGUAAAAAGAGAGUGAGGGCCCUUUGAGUAAAUACAGACAGAGACCCAACCUCAGCAAACAAUGAUCAGUGUCGCAAUCAUCCGCUGUCACAAAGUUCAUUGCUGGGUGAUAAACAGCACCACGAGGCUUCAGAGUGGCAGCUGAAUGAAUAAAAUGUCGCCGUAAUCCAACGCUGACCUUCCUUUUUAAACAUCACAGGAAUCUCAAAAAGCACGACUGCUUUUAUUCCAAAUCUGAAUCUGACCACGAGACUCGUCUAACGGAUGAAUUCUACCACGCAGCAACAACCGCGUGUGUUCAUUCCCCCGCGACCUCACUGAGAACACGAAGCCUCUGACGGAAAACCUCAGAGUAACGGCGAUAACGGCGGAGGAAUGAGGCUGGAAUUAUCACUGCAGUGCACCGCAUCAUCAUUACUGCAAUAUGUUGAACAUAUUUGUAUUACAAGUAGGUUCAAACGUAUGCGACCUGCUUGUGUGGAAGACGGGGCGGAUGAGUCAUUGUCAUCGUGGGAUCGUUAAUAAGCCAGCUGCUGCAUUUAUGCAUGAGAGCCAACUCCGUAAAUACGAGACGAAAAGGAGCCUUGACCUCUGAAUCAUUACGCUGAGUGUGUCAUUUACGACGAAAAUAGUCGGAGAGAAACAAGAGAGACAAGCAGGUUUCACUUUUGUUCACAGAGAUUCUUUAAAAGAACCUCAAACGUGUCUCAAGGCCUCGGCACAACGUCUGUCGCUGUGAAGUCGAUCCUGCGGAGGAGCCGGAGGGAUGGAAGCGCCACUUGCGAGAGAGCAGGGUGAUGAACGCACACGCCACAGAGGAGUCGGGCGAGCGUGAGCCCUUGUGCCCCGUCCAAGGUGCUGCGAUUACUCUGAGAGCCGCAGCGUGAGGCGGGCUGAGAACGGCUCGUCCUCUGGCCGGGGCAGCGCGGCCGGGACGCCCCACCGGCACCCGCUGGUAACUUCUGCUACCCGACAUUCUACUCAGUGAGCCGAGGUCACGCACCCAAAUGAGGAUUCGUCUGAUUUAAAAUGUUAAAAUAAGAUUCUAAAAGAAGGGUUUUCACGCGUUUUGACCAUUUCUGAUGUUCUAACCCCAUUGAGUUGUUGAUAAAACGACAACGCUCUGGAUGUGGUAAAUGCACAUUGUGGAAUAGUGGCAGUUUUAAACACGUGGUCAAGAAACAACGUUAAAACCUACUGAAUGUAGGUGUGUGAAUGUGGCUACAUUCAGACAACAAAGCUGCUUGGCCAAGUUACGAAAACAUCCUGUUGGGGGUUGAAUAAGUACAGUUGUUACCAAAAUGAGAACCAUACAAAAGUGCACGUGACGCACAUGAGAGAAAAUAGUCAACGUGUGGACUUUUGCUUUAACACUUUCAAGCUCAAGUCCUGUGUUGAAUUAAAUCCUUUAAUUGUUUUAAGUGACGCUCCUGACGUCCCAGAUGUUCCCACUAACUCUUCCUCUUAUGAUGUAGUUUGCAUUUAUUUGGUAACAGCAGCUGUUCAACGCUCAUCUCCGUCUCUCGUUUUGCUUCAAUUUUAUUCCAAAGUAGCUGUAACACUGACGCACUACAGAGUCAAACUGUGCACAUCGUGUCCUUGUGACUCACAAGGCCGACACGUGACCCGAGUGCGUCCUGACCCAGCGUUGUGUUCUAGUGAGUCACGACUAAAGUAGCGCGACACAGAGAGUAACAAUGAGAAAUGCAUCAGAAUGCACUUUCUUUCUUGAACCUGAGCAGAUCCUGAAGCAAUAUGCAGGAAAGACGGGAAAUGUUGGGGUCUAUUUUUUGCACAUAAUGCACAGUGGCAGAUAAGAGAGGAGUAAUCUGAUUUAGCACAUAAUGGGGAGAGCAGGUGGUCUCCAGGGAGCUUAUUGUACUUAUCAAACACCAAUAAUGUGACGCACAAUAGCAUCAUUUCACCAGAAUUACCGUAUGGAAAAUAAAUGUCCAGAUCGGCUUGUAGAUUCGUCUGCGUAUCCGUUAAAUACCGUUUCCUUUUCAAGGUGCAUAAACGUAUGAGUCGAAGAGACGCUUUUUUCUGAUGUUUCAAAAUAGCGGCCUGUUACAUUCUACCAUUUGUUCCCCGAGAGCCGGAGACGAGGGAGGAACAAGUCAGACAAAAGACUGGUGGAGUUAAAAGGUCUAUGAAAGAAAAGACGGAGAGACUUUAAGAUACAGCUAACAGCCCAAAUCAAUCAAUGGAGCUUUUACAGUUUAUAUGCACAGCUAAUUGCACCAAAAAGGUUUAAAAAAGCAAGAGGAGAACGUCACAUGUGGCUGAGAUCUUCCUGCUGUUGUGAAUGAAAGUCAAUGCUUUUUCUUCCCAAACAAACAUGACAAUAGUCCUUUUUGAAGAGAAUUAAUGAAAAUGAUCUGCUGUCUUAGAGGCAUUUUUAAUCUAUAAUGCUGGGACAAAGGAACGUGAAAGUGUUGUUGUGCUGACAAAGGGAAGGAGGGAAGGAGAGAAGGAGAGAAGGAGGAGGAGGAGGAGAGCAACGCUCCAAUAAUGCAGCAGCAGUGAUUAGCGACACCUUUUGUAGAGUCUGUGCGAUGCCAUCAGUCCUGCUAAAGCCGAGACAAAGAUCCGAUACCGUACUCACACGGGACGAAUAACGAAUGCUUUUAGCUUUUAUUGGUGGGGGGGGGAGAGAGAGAGGAGUCAUCUGCAUGCGUCCAUUGAAGUGUGAAUGAGUGUGUGUGCUUUUUGCAAGCCUAUUUCCCGUCCAAUAACACCCUGACAUAUAAAAACUAACCCAUAAAUAAAUAGAGUCCUUCUCGGGUUUGUGAUUGUGUUUUUCAUAGUUGUUUGAUUUUGAAAGGAAAAAAGUAACAAAUACAUAUCAGCGACGUAGGGAACCUGAAGGUUUGACAAUAGACAUCCAUCAAGCUUUUGCAGGAUAGUGUCGUAUUUUCUGCAGAUAUAAAUCAUUUUCUUUCUACAUUUAUUUCCUCUGAAAUGCAAUUCAAUUUUCGUGAUAUUUCAGAACGACCAUUGCGCAAUUCUACCGUUAUUUCCUUUUAAACGUGCUCGCCGACCUAGCAACAGUAACCAGGCGGGGAGGGAGGAGAGGGAGGGGCGACGGGUCAAUUGGAGAGAUGAUUCAUGCUGUUAACCGGCCUGAACAACUGCUUGAAUCAAUCGCAGGCGGAUGGCGUGUUUACUGCUGCAUCGUUUUAAUGUGUCUGAGCUCUGAUGAGUUUAUAUUCUAAUCUAUGAACCUAAUUACCAGGCAGAAUUUCUCUGCCUGUGAUGGUGGUGGCUCAUUCUGCCCUUCACUUCAGGAAAUCGGUUCAUUAGUCCAAUGAACAGUGUUUGUUGUUCAGGGGCGAGAACACAACAAAAGAAGUUUUAUUUCUGUUCAUUCCGAGGGGAAGACGAAUGCACGGACCGAACGGCAUCCACCUCGACCCCUUUCAUCAAUGCAAACCACACCAACGGACGGACCCGCGCUGGUCGUCCCGCGUUGAUAACAACACGCCAAAGAGGAUCUCCAGCAUCAACAGCAUCCCCAAUGUUGAGGAAAGGCAGCGAGGUGUAGCGUACCUGAAGCGGUUCCCUCCGCCGCAUCAUUUACAUGGAGUGACAAGUUGCACGUGCCAAAUAUCCCUCCACAUGAAUACGCCUAGAUUUGUAUUAAAAAAAAAAAACGUAUUAGCGCAGUGGGCUCUGCUAUGAUAUGCGUUUCUAAAUCUAUUAUCUCUAGUGUAUAAUUAACUACUGCCAUGGUUGCGUUGAUUAAAUCCACUAUUUCACACUCCGUCACCGUGCUUAUGGACAUCUGCUAUCAGUUCGGUUCAGAAAACGUUCAGGUAUGAGCACCAGCUGCCUCAAUGUCUUUACAAUUUCAUUUAUAUUGGAAUGAAUCCACCCCCACACUUAAUUAGGCCAAUUCCAAUGCAAUGUUUUAAUUCUCCAGCCGUGGGAAAAUGACUUGGUGCUCUCUUUAAAUGAAGCCAACCAGAAGUCGUACCGACUGUGUGACACGUUACGUCUGAAAAGGCCGCGUUCAGCUGUCGCUUAAUUGAACCACAUCCGUCGGUAGGAACCAGAGAGCCCUCAAUUUGUUAAAAACGACCUUUUCUCUUGUUGUAAUUAAGUUUGAAUCGCACCGGCGUCCUUUAAGGUGAGAUUCCGCCUCUUUUGAAACGCUCGCCACAGAUUCACCCCGGUUACGUCCUUCUGGACGAAAUGUCGAGGGGGGGGGAGCAUCCCAUGUCACAAACACAAGGUAAGUGCUUCUGCUGCAUAUAAAUAGCAUCAUUUCACGCCAACCACCGUUGCACACCAGCGUCAUUAAACAUUGCCUCAUUGGGCGUCCCGGGCCGUGAAUGUGGGUUUAUGGACAAUAAACCGACCACCGGACGAUGUUUGCUUUGUCCGGCUGAAGAAUAACAGCAUCACGACGUUCUGAGGUUCUAGUUCUGCUUCAUCAUACGGUGAAUGACAUUUGUACACCUUUUGAAAACCUAUUGCCCAUUAGCAAAGCCCUGGCCGCCUUACUCGCUUGCUGUUGCACCGACCCCUCAAGAGUGUCUCACGGAUGGAUCGUACUUGUCGGAUGGAGGUAGACGAACUUCCAGUCCAAUCUAGAGCUGCGUGUUUAAAGUGUUAAAAGUCCUUCGCCGGAGGAUGAUGAUGAUGAUAAUCCACACGUCGGGCUUUGUUACGACGCUGCAGAGUAGAGGAAGUAACAGCAACGCUCAAGAAGUUCGGUGCACCGACCAAAACUUAGACUUGUAAAGUCGUAAAUCUCCUGAUCAAUCACUUGAACGCUAAGUGCGUUGAAAAAGAAAAGAAGGCGGGAAAGAAGACGGGGGAUCAGACGCAGGUGGGCGAGUCGUCGACCAGCCACAAGUCUGCGCCGCAGGCAGAACGUUUAAGCGUCUCGCUGAACCCCGCAUGAGUCCUGCCGCGCCUAGUUACGGUUGCUACGCUGUGAGUCCACGGCCGUCGCCCGGAUUAAUUAAUGAAAUCUGCCACUGUUCUUUUCAAGACAGAUCUGGUUGCCUGUAAGCGUGUGAAAUAAAUAAAUAGCUGCUAAAGACACACAGUGUGUGUGUGUGUGUGUGUGUCGUAUAUUCCUCUCUUCAUGACUGUACACUACUAGAGAGCACAAGUCGUGUUGCAAUCCUCAGAGAAACCUCAGGCCGAUGUGCUUCCACUGCGCUCCCUUACGUGAUUGCAUUUCCCUCUCCAACGAUUUGGACAUUUUCUUUCGCCAUUACUCAAAUCGUGGCAGAUUUGAAGUCAUCAGCAUGCGACGGCGGCGUGAACUCGGUCCGUGUGUAUUACGUUGCUGUAAUCGGAUGUCGCCAAUGAGCUUUUUUGGGGAAACAGUGUUAAAUAAUACCCGUGCUCAUUAACUGAGGCAAAAGUGCAAAAACAAGAAAGGAGCCGCGAGAAACAAUCGCAUCUAAACACAAGCAAAUCAAGCGGGCGGCCUUCAUGUCGGCUCCUCUGUUUUUCUGCUCCGCACGUGCACGAACACAGAAAGCGAGAAACAAAUUGCCUUUCUCAAUAGCCGCAACGUUGCUGCACAACAGAAUUACCUUCCGAAAGGCCAUGGGAGAGGCAAAACAAUUUCCUGACAAGUGCAAAAGACAGUGUGUGCAAAUGAGGGGGGGUUGAGAGACAAAGAAUAUUAUCAUGCACGGCCAGUGGGUUGUCUGGGAAGCUCUAAUUGGAAGUAAUUUUGCACUCAGCUCUGAUGAAGCUAAUGGAAGCAGAGGUAUGGUAUCGCAGGCUGGCACCUUUCUCUUUUGAUUAGCUUGAAUCUGCGGAAGCCGGGCGCGUCUUCUGUUGCCUCUUCAAUGCCUCUGCUGUCAGGAGCGGGAAAGGCAGCGGAGGUCAGAAUGGAGAAGUCACGACCGUCGGAAAACUGGUGACACACCGACUCCGCCACGGGCCGCGGGGAAGAUGGAACCCCAUUAUCUCCUCCCCUCCUCGUCCCUCCACACGAGGCGAAGACACGAAGACGCCUCGCAAUCAAUGGGCUUUAAUCACGUCCAUUUUCCCUCAAUGAAGAGGAGCAAAUGUCUCAAGCUCAAUUGCCUCUAAUAACAUCGAAAGGGAGCGAGAUGUUCAAAUGGGGACAGACGUAAGGGUCGUGAGUUCAUCACGCUUUAUAAUUUUACACCGCGUUGCCAUUAGGAAAGGGUCUGUGAGACGGUUUGGGCUGCAAACAUGAUCGUGCGUAAAAAGCCCCAUGAACCAGACGUGUGCUAAGUGCUAGUAAUCGCCAACGUGCAUCCAGCAGACGAGGAGCAACGUUCGCAUUCAUUCAACCCGAAUGAAAGGAAAGCUAAGAUCACAGAACACGUCUCAUUGCAUUUCCUAUCACACAUCGGCGUGAGGAGACCCAAAGCGAAGGCCUAUUUCCCCCCAAAAAAGGAGAGCUUUUGUGGGGCGUCAUACAUACAAAAAAUUAACUUGCUCUUUCAAAUGUGAUUUGCUGAAAAUGCGACGUCCAUUAAACGCACACGUUAACCUAAAAGGGUUUUAAAAAACCCAAAGCUGCAGAGUUUGCUGUCCCUGUAUCACAUGCAAAACGCAGCGUGUGGGAACCUCGGUGUGUGAACUUGCUGAGGUGCUGAGAGGGUGAACUGUGUUCAUUUCGGGACCUACUGAGAUCUUUUGAGUCUCUUUGAGUUGGCUGCAAAAACACAGCAGCGUUUAAAGGAGAGAUCGUUUGUGCGACGGCAGCAUCCUCCGUCUGCCAGCCGGCCUCCCGAGGGGCAAAUCUGUCUUCUCAGGGAAGGUCUUCUCUCCCGUGGCGAUGGAGCGCCUGGGGGAGCUCCACCAAUGCAGGAACUGCAUCACGCACCUAUUCUGAAGAGCUAUUUUCAGAUGACUGCGCGGACCAUCUUUCAAUCUAUCAAAGGCCUCUCCAAUCUUACCCGCAGGUUUUUUUUUUUUUUGCUUAUUAUCUCUGAAUGUCUCUGAAUAAAAUAUGCAGAAAAGUUCCUCUCGAGAGGCUUCAGAGGAAGCGGAGCUUGCGUUCCUCUGGGGACCUUGUGUGGCGGAGAGGAGAUGGCUCACUAGAUAUCUCUCUCUUAUCGGAUCUUAUCAGCCGAUGAGUGAUCUCGCCUCUCCAGCCGGACGCCAAAGUCGGCCUGAAGGUCGCGGCUCAGAGCUCAGAGGAUGCCGCUCUUUGACAAAGAGGCCCAAAAAAAAUCACGUUCGCACACCUGAAGCUGUUGUCGCCCUGCUGAAUAAUUCACGCGAAGAUGACGCCGCGGCGUCACUUACUCUCUCCUCCUCCGAAACCCGGACACGCCGAGCCGAAUUUUGAGUCCUUUCCAGCGAGCUGCUUUUACUUUUCUUUUCCAAUCUCUCUCGCUCUCUCAGCCUUCAUGUUGCGAGUUAUUCCCCCAAAGUGCACAAGAUUGUUAUGCCCGAGAGAGUGUCUUUCAAAGUGGUUAUGGCCCAUGCAGGACUUGUCUGGCAGUGCCAGUAAUGACGGGGAAAGGCUCCCUCUGGGGCGACUUUUCCCUCGAAAUUACCCGCCAUUACUUUUACAUCUCUCGUUCAGAUCGUCUGUUUCGUGAGUCGAGGCGUAGUCGCGCUGACCCUGGCCGACUCGUGCACGGCGUCUUCGUCCCAGGCUGGGUGACUACGCAUGUGAGAUCCAUAAUGAGGGAGACAGUGGAAGAACGGCAGAGCGAUCGCUGGGCUCUGAGGGAUCGUUGGAGCGCGAUCGC